rnacentral:rRNA from 1 species
AACGAACGCUGGCGGCAGGCUUAACACAUGCAAGUCGAACGGUUGUAGCAAUACAGCAGUGGCAGACGGGUGAGUAACACGUGGGAACCUUCCUAGGGGUACGGAACAACUCAGGGAAACUUGAGCUAAUACCGUAUACGUCCGUGAGGAGAAAGAUUUAUCGCCCUUAGACGGGCCCGCGUCGGAUUAGCUAGUUGGUGGGGUAACGGCCUACCAAGGCGACGAUCCGUAGUUGAUCUUAGAGGAUGAUCAGCCACACUGGGACUGAGACACGGCCCAGACUCCUACGGGAGGCAGCAGUGGGGAAUCUUGGACAAUGGGCGCAAGCCUGGUCCAGCCAUGCCGCGUGAGUGAAGAAGGUCUUCGGAUUGUAAAGCUCUUUUGCCAGGGGCGAUAAUGACGGUACCUGGAGAAUAAGCCCCGGCAAACUUCGUGCCAGCAGCCGCCGUAA